rnacentral:rRNA from 1 species
AGUGAACGCUGGCGGUAGGCCUAACACAUGCAAGUCGAACGGCAGCACAGGAGAGCUUGCUCUCUGGGUGGCGAGUGGCGGACGGGUGAGGAAUACAUCGGAAUCUGCCCAGUCGUGGGGGAUAACGUAGGGAAACUUACGCUAAUACCGCAUACGACCUUCGGGUGAAAGAGGGGGAUCGCAAGACCUCUCGCGAUUGGAUGAGCCGAUGUCGGAUUAGCUAGUUGGCGGGGUAAUGGCCCACCAAGGCGACGAUCCGUAGCUGGUCUGAGAGGAUGAUCGGCCACACUGGAACUGAGACACGGACCAGACUCCUAAGGGAGGCAGCAGUGGGGAAUAUUGGACAAUGGGCGCAAGCCUGAUCCAGCCAUACCGCGUGGGUGAAGAAGGCCUUCGGGUUGUAAAGCCCUUUUGUUGGGAAAGAAAUCUUUCAGGCUAAUACCCUGGGAGGAUGACGGUACCCAAAGAAUAAGCACCGGCUAACUUCGUG